rnacentral:rRNA from 1 species
GACGAACGCUGGCGGCGUGCUUAACACAUGCAAGUCGAACGGAAAGGCCCUGCGCUUGUGGGGUUCUCGAGUGGCGAAGGGGUGAGUAACACGUGAGUAACCUGCCCUUGACUUUGGGAUAACUUCAGGAAACUGGGGCUAAUACCGGAUAGGAGAUCCUGCUGCGUGGGGGGGGUUGGAAAGUUUCGGCGGUUGGGGCUGGACUCGCGGCUUAUCAGCUUGUUGGUGGGGUAGUGGCUUACCAAGGCUUUGACGGGUAGCCGGCCUGAGAGGGUGGCCGGCCACCUUGGGCCUGCGAUACGGCCCAGACUCGUACGGGAGGCAGCAGUGGGGAAUAUUGCACAAUGGGCGGAAGCCUGAUGCAGCAACGCCGCGUGCGGGAUGACGGCCUUCGGGUUGUAAACCGCUUUCUCCUGUGACGAAGCGUGAGUGACGGUAAUGGGUAAAGAAGCACCGGCUAACUACGUG